rnacentral:rRNA from 1 species
AGCGAACGCUGGCGGCAGGCCUAACACAUGCAAGUCGAACGAAGCCUUCGGGCUUAGUGGCGGACGGGUGAGUAACACGUGGGAACGUACCUUUUGGUUCGGAAUAAAGCAGAGAAAUUUGCGCUAAUACCGAAUGAGACCUUCGGGGGAAAGAUUUAUAGCCGAAAGAUCUGCCCGCGUUGGAUUAGGUAUUUGGUGUGGUAAAGGCGCACCAAGCCUACGAUCCAUAGCUGGUCUGCGAGGAUGGUCAGCCACACUGGGCCUGAGACCCGGCCCAGACUCCUACGGGAGGCAGCAGUGGGGAAUCUUGCGCAAUGGGCGGAAGCCUGACGCAGCCCUGCCGCUUGAAUGAUGAAGGUCUUAGGAUUGUAAAAUUCUUUUACCAGGGACGAUAAUGACGGUACCUGGAGAAAAAGCCCCGGCUAACUUCGUGCCAGCCGCCGCCGUAAAAC